GGGGUACCCUAAGAGAGAUCUGGGCUUUCAUCUUGCACUGGUGCACACUGUAUUCCUGGGUGCUAGAGUAUCCCUGGCCUGACCCUGUCCUCAGUGUCUGUAGACCUCUCUGUCUCCCUAUGUCAACCUGGGCUAGGCAAAUGAUUCAGUGUAACAUUUUCUGUAUUUCUCCAUUAGGAUUCAGUCUGAUGCAUUUUCUAUGUCUGUUUGAAGGAGUGUUGUGGAGAGGACCUCAUCUGCUUUCUGUCAUUCAGCUGUCAGGGCUGAAUCAUCAGAGUUCCUUUACUUCAUUCAUUCUUGAUCUAACCCUGGAACCCUACUAACACUGGAGGAAGGUGAGCUGAGGAGACAGAGCAAUGGAGUUUGGAUACAGGAACGCAAAGAACAAGAAAUCAACUAGAUGCCCAACAACUGAGGAACCACUAAAGGAAUGAGAACAUAUGAAUAAAAUGGAAUAUUUUACUGAGCCAUAAGAAACAAUGACUAUGAAGAAAUCAGAGAAGCAUGGGAAGAUUUAUCAGAACUGAUGUACAGGAAAGAAAACAGAGCCAGUAUGACAAGAUUCACAAUUACUAUAAUUUAAAUAGAAAUAAACCUUGAAACCAAACUAUGUAAUUAUGACAAAGCUUGGACCCAGAGAAGACAUGAGAAAAUGUACCACCCUUUCUUUACAGAGGUGAAGGACUAUGAGUGUAUAGCAUAUCUUCUCACAUGAAGCUGAUUAGUUUUGUUGAACUAUUUCUUUUUCUUCUUAGUCUUUAAAAUUGUGUUAUAUUGUUAGACAAGAGGUUAACAAAUAUCUGUAAAUGAGAGUAACAAAAACAAAAGAUGUCAAUAAGAAUUUUAAAAAACUAUGUUCACUAACAAAAUAAUAGUAGUUGACAUUUCUAAAGCACAAUGAGAUUUUUUUAAAAUUUAUUUUUCCCCAGUUACAUGUAAAAAUAAUUUUUAACAUGUUUAUAAAACUUUGAG